UACGGAGGGUGCAAGCGUUAUCCGGAUUCACUGGGUUUAAAGGGUGCGUAGGUGGGUUGGUAAGUCAGUGGUGAAAUCUCCGAGCUUAACUUGGAAACUGCCAUUGAUACUAUCAGUCUUGAAUAUUGUGGAGGUCAGCGGAAUAUGUCAUGUAGCGGUGAAAUGCUUAGAUAUGACAUAGAACACCAAUUGCGAAGGCAGCUGGCUACGCAUAUAUUGACACUGAGGCAAGAAAGCGUGGGGAUCGAAACAAGG
rnacentral:rRNA from 1 species